rnacentral:rRNA from 1 species
UACGUAGGGUGCAAGCGUUAAUCGGAAUUACUGGGCGUAAAGCGUGCGUAGACGGUUAUGUAAGUCAGGUGUGAAAGCCCCGGGCUCAACCUGGGAAUUGCAUUUGAGACUGCAUAGCUAGGGUGCGGAAGAGGGAAGCGGAAUUUCCGGUGUAGCGGUGAAAUGCGUAGAUAUCGGAAGGAACAUCAGUGGCGAAAGCGGCUUCCUGGUCCAGCACCGACGUUCAGGCACGAAAGCGUGGGGAGCAAACAGG